rnacentral:rRNA from 1 species
GACGAACCGUGCGAACGUUGUUCGGAAUCACUGGGCGUAAAGCGCACGUAGGCGGCUUUCUAAGUCAGGGGUGAAAUCCUGGAGCUCAACUCCAGAACUGCCUUUGAUACUGGAGAGCUUGAGUCCGGAAGAGGUGAGUGGAACUCCGAGUGUAGAGGUGAAAUUCGUAGAUAUUCGGAAGAACACCAGUGGCGAAGGCGGCUCACUGGUCCGGUACUGACGCUGAGGUGCGAAAGCGUGGGGAGCAAACAGG